CAAGAGGACCGGGCGACCGCCGGCUCUGGACUCCGUUAACUCGGCAGGCCAAAGCGGGAGGAAAGUCCGGGCGUCACAGGACAGGGUGGUGGGUAACGCCCACCGGCCGCAAGGCCAGGGAAAGUGCAACAGAGAGUAGACCGCCGAUGGGGGGGAAGCGGUUAGCGGUUAGCAGUUAGUCGUUAGCUGUCGGCAUCGCCGACGAUCCUUUAGCUAACCACUAUCGACUAAUCGCUAACCGCUUCUCCCCACAGGCAAGGGUGAAACGGUGCGGUAAGAGCGCACCAGCGGGCGGGGUGACUCGCUCGGCUUGGUAAACCCCACCCGACGCAAGGCCAAACAGGGAGGAUGAGCUUGUCCGGCUCGCUACCACUCCCGGGUGGGCCGCUCGAGGCGGCGGGCAACCGCCGUCCUAGAUGAAUGGUCGCCGCCAAUGUCGCAAGACAUUGGAGACAAGACCCGGCUUACAGGUCCUCUUGGGGG
rnacentral:RNase_P_RNA from 1 species